rnacentral:rRNA from 1 species
GACGUAGGGCGCGAGCGUUGUCCGGAUUUAUUGGGCGUAAAGAGCUCGUAGGCGGCUUGUCGCGUCGAAUGUGAAAACUCGGGGCUCAACUCCGAGCUUGCAUUCGAUACGGGCAGGCUAGAGUUCGGUAGGGGAGACUGGAAUUCCUGGUGUAGCGGUGAAAUGCGCAGAUAUCAGGAGGAACACCGAUGGCGAAGGCAGGUCUCUGGGCCGAUACUGACGCUGAGGCGCGAAAGCCAGGGGAGCAAACGGG